rnacentral:rRNA from 1 species
GAUGAACGCUGGCGGCGUGCCUAAUACAUGCAAGUCGAGCGAACGGACGAGAAGCUUGCUUCUCUGAUGUUAGCGGCGGACGGGUGAGUAACACGUGGAUAACCUACCUAUAAUACUGGGAUAACUUCGGGAAACCGUAGCUAAUACCGGAUAAUAUUUUGAACCGCAUGGUUCAAAAGUGAAAGACGGUCUUGCUGUCACUUAUAGAUGGAUCCGCGCUGCAUUAGCUAGUUGGUAAGGUAACGGCUUACCAAGGCAACGAUGCAUAGCCGACCUGAGAGGGUGAUCGGCCGCACUGGAACUGAGACACGGUCCAGACUCCUACGGGAGGCAGCAGUAGGGAAUCUUCCGCAAUGGGCGAAAGCCUGACGGAGCAACGCCGCGUGAGUGAUGAAGGUCUUCGGAUCGUAAAACUCUGUUAUUAGGGAAGAACAUAUGUGUAAGUAACUGUGCACAUCUUGACGGUACCUAAUCAGAAAGCCACGGCUAACUACGUG